rnacentral:rRNA from 1 species
GACGAACGCUGGCGGCGUGCUUAACACAUGCAAGUCGAACGGAAAGGCCCCGCUUUUGUGGGGUGCUCGAGUGGCGAACGGGUGAGUAACACGUGAGUAACCUGCCCUUGACUUUGGGAUAACUUCAGGAAACUGGGGCUAAUACCGGAUAGGAGCUCCUGCUGCAUGGUGGGGGUUGGAAAGUUUCGGCGGUUGGGGAUGGACUCGCGGCUUAUCAGCUUGUUGGUGGGGUAGUGGCUUACCAAGGCUUUGACGGGUAGCCGGCCUGAGAGGGUGACCGGCCACAUUGGGACUGAGAUACGGCCCAGACUCCUACGGGAGGCAGCAGUGGGGAAUAUUGCACAAUGGGCGGAAGCGUGAGGCAGCAACGCCGCGUGCGGGAUGACGGCCUUCGGGUUGUAAACCGCUUUCGCCUGUGACGAAGCGUGAGUGACGGUAAUGGGUAAAGAAGCACCGGCUAACUACGUG